UUUUGAAAGAAAUUACCACAGGCACUAGCAUUUUGUAUAUAAUUUAAUCUCUGUAAAAAAUAAAUAUCUUCUUUUAAGUUUUAAACUGAAUUUUACUGUGCGUAUUGCUGUGUGUUUCUUUAUUCUACAUUGGCUAGAGGUAUAGGGGGAGGGGUGAGAUCUCACAAAACAUGUUUAACCCCACCACAUUUUUUUGCCUCUCCGAAGUCAGGAGCCUCUUACCUUUGUUAGUCUUGUAUGUUUUUAAAUUUUAGUUCAUUUAUAUGUUUUGGAGUUAAGUGUGACGUCCAUUUUCACUGAAUUACUCAAUUUGUACACAUUAUUAUGGAGGGGCCAGCUGAGGCCCACCUCGGGGUGCAGGAUUUUCUGGCUUCGUUAAAGACCCAUUGAUGGCCUUCGGCUGUUAUCUGCUCUUUGUUGGGUUGUUGUCUCUUUGACAUAUUCCCCAUUUCCAUUCUCAAUUUUACUCAGACUGACUCAGAGACAUCAUAUAUAAUGUCUCUGAUUUACUUCACCAGUAUAAAAGAGAACUAAAGUUAGUAUUUAUAGAUAAAUUAUUUUAUAUUUAUAUAUCUAUUCAAAAUAAAAUUAUGAAAAGAAAAGUAGAGAUUAUUGGGAUUAUUUUUAAUGUCAGAAUAUCAUGGAUAAAGCCAGAGGAUUCUGAAUAUCUGGCAAAAACUCAAAAACAUGAGGAACGAACAUCCUUAGACAUAAAUAUAUGUGGGUUUUGAUUUUUACAAGACUUCAAUAAAUAAAUAGGGACUUUUUAACAUUCAGCUGCAGGUACUGAGGACCUACAUGUAUUGAUCACUUACACUUAUCUGUCUGGAGUGGUAUAUAAACUUCACAUGUCUCAUAGACAUACACCACACAACUCAUUUUAUUUCACCAGUUAAAUAUAUGUCAAGAUUGUUCAUGAUCAUAGAAUGACACUUGAGUUAAUUAUCAGGCAAUUACCUUUCAUUGUUCCACUUAUUAAUAUUUACCACACAAUUUUGGUAGUUCACUGUAAUGUUCCCAAUUUAAAGUUUGACAGACUAUGACAAUAACUGUAUGUGUAAAAAAAAUACUUAAAAUUUAUGCAUUUCUUUUUUCUAUAUGACAGAUAAUAAGCAGGGCAUGAACGAAGUAUGGAGGAUCUGUUUGAAAAUUCAAGACAUGAGAAAGAAAAUGACAGGGAGAGAUGUCCAGUUCAACGUUACCAGGACAAUUCAGCAAAGUUCCAACAGAUAUAAAAAAUCUGAAUUUGAGGCAAAUAUAUACUGUCAUGUAUAUACAUAAGAUGGAUAAAGGACAUGAUACUUUAGCAGUGCUUCAGAGAAUCACAUUUGGUUACAGAAGUUUGUAGUAUUUUGGUUGUAAUCAAGUUAUUAAGCUGAAGCUUCAUAGUAAAACAGAUCUAGGCUACACCUUCACUAUUCAAGUCAGACUUUAAAAGGAAGCCUUUUUUAUUGAUAGCUGAAGAUAUGAAGAAACUUUUAAAAGAGAGGAGCAUUUAGAAGACGG